GGAUGGCUGUGGGCUCCCCAGUGGUUUCUCAUAGGGGCAGCUUCUGCAUUUAGAGUUCUUGCUGAUGAGUAAUGAGACAGAAAGUCUUUACAGAAAGAAAGUGAGAAUAUAUCAGAGUGCUCAAAGCGGGAAGAGGGAGACGUGGGCCAAGCAAAAGAGAAGUGAGUGUUAUUAAUUCCAUUUUUAGAGACAGCGCAGGGGCCGGUCUCACUGCCUCCUUGUCUGCCCCUCAGAAGGAAUGGAGAAUCUCAAUCCCACAGCUAUGUCAACCCAAAGGUCAAGUGGAAUGUCCAUAGCGCCUCCCCACACGUUCCUGCCUUUUCUUCUACAUCAGAACUGAAGCAUCGCCCUCUGGAGAGUAUUUGGACAUGGCUUUGCAGUCUCUGAGAGCCAUCCCUGCCCUGCCCCACCACCCUGCCAGAGCUGCCUUCCAGAAAUCGAGGACACAACUCACAUCUUCUUGGACCUGCUCACACACUCAGCCCCUGGCCCGCCUGGAAUUCAGCAAAAGCCUCCAUGUAGAAAGAGUCCAGUUUCGGGGCCGGUUCUUCCGUGACUGUUUGUCAUUCCUUGGGAAAUGUCACCAACCAGCAAGUCAGUGCCGUCAAGACAAGUCAUGAAUCACUCUGCAAGGCUGAAUCACUGCCAAAGCACAAGGUCUGGGGACCUCCAGGUGAGGCUGGGUGGACACUUCUCCUUUCAGAGACGGACUCCCCACCCCGGGAAGUGCACCGCGUGUGCUCGGGUGGCCACCAGGGGGAGUCCAAGGGGACUGAAAUGACCUAAACUCCCUGAACAUGGGGAGACUUCCCAGCCCACCUCCUUGUAUGCAAACUAACCUCAGGCCAGAGGCUUGUGUUAGGGGUCAUGUGAGACACAAGGAGCUCUGAGGCUUUGCCCUUCCCCUUGAGGGCAAGAGCACGUCUGGUAAGGAAGGCCUGCUGUGUACCCGGCCUUCCGCAGGGCGCCUAACCUACGUUGUCUUCCUUAAUCCUUACAACAGCUAUGAUGAGCCAAGUUUUGUAUAUUGUUCAAGGCUCAGUUCAGCAGGGAUAAUAUUCAUAGCAUGAUUACUAAGUGCCAGGCACUGCGCUAAGCGCUUUAUGGGGAUUAGCUCAUUUAAUUCUGAGAACUACCCAGUUAGUAGGUGUUACUGUUACACCCAUUUUACGGCAAAAGAGACUGAGGCUUAAGGAAAUUAAAUAACUUCCCUUGCCCAAGAGCACAGAUCUAAUGGGGGGGGAUGUAACUCAGGAUAAGAACCCAUGGAGUCUGAUUAUAGAACAAUAGCAGCACCCUGGCCACCCCACUGAUCUUUCCAGAAAGCCCUUGGCUUGUGGCCACGCUGUGCUCCCUCUUCUCCAAAUUCUGAUUUUACUUACAGCCAGUCCAAUGAAGAGAUUUGUACUCAUUUCUUCUCUCUCACACUCGGCUACAUUCCACUGUCCCAUCCUAUCCCCACCCUACCACCUUCCAGGUAAAGAGUGAGUUCCUUGAAGGCGAUCACCCUACCUCAGCUUCUUUCUGUGUAGCUGCCAUUUAUUACGCACGCAGGGUGUCUACCAUCAUCAAGGGCACUUUCAUUCUUUAAGUUGGUUGUCAAUUUCGUCCUCACAGUAAUUCGGGGAAGGAAAUCAUAUAACCCACAUUGUAUAGACAGAAGAGUAAGUCUUGGAAUCACAUGUCUAGACCCAUGAGUGUCACCUAGCUAGCAAGUAGAAUAGGGAGGACCCCAAGCCUACCAGCCCCCACCCCUUGCUCUAAGCUACUAUCUGCCCCUCCACCUUGCAUAGAGCUGCACCCAGAGUGAAAAAAAGCAUCAGAACAUGAGCUUGCAGGCUUCGGCCAGAGUCCCUGAUCAAUGAUUAACUAGUAGAACUUAAGCGGGUCAUUUUAGACCCUGGAGAUUGGGGCCAAAAGCAUCGUCUGUCAAUUCCUGUCCUGGUGCAAUUCUCAGACUCAGGCUCUCCCCUCUCUUCAAUCUUGUUCCUGCCCCUUGGGAUUGCAUGCUUGAAUGUCACUAGUCUAAGACCUCCUUUAGGACAAGAACCUGGUCAUAUUCACCAUUGUGUUCCUGGAGUGGAGCUAGAACCCCAAACAUGGUGAACUCAAUAGAUGAUCAGUAAAUAAAGGAGCAAAUAAACAAGUAAAUUAAUAUAUC
rnacentral:lncRNA from 12 species